CUACGGGUGGCACCAGUCGAGAAUCUUCCGCAAUGCGCGAAAGCGUGACGGAGCGACGCCGCGUGCAGGAUGACGGCCUUCGGGUUGUAAACUGCUGUCACUCGGGAAAAAUAAUGAUUGUACCGAGAGAGGAAGCCACGGCUAACUACGUGCCAGCAGCCGCGGUAAUACGUAGGUGGCUAGCGUUAUUCGGAUUUAUUGGGCGUAAAGGGUUCGUAGGCGGUUGCGUAAGUCUGAUGUGAAAUCUCCGGGCUCAACCCGGAAACUGCAUUAGAUACUGCGCGACUUGAGUACUGGAGAGGUAAGCGGAAUUCCUGGUGUAGCGGUGGAAUGCGUAGAUAUCAGGAGGAACACCGAUGGCGAAGGCAGCUUACUGGACAGUUACUGACGCUGAUGAACGAAAGCUAGGGGAGCGAACAGGAUUAGAUACCCCUGUAGUC
rnacentral:rRNA from 1 species